rnacentral:lncRNA from 1 species
AAAUGAUCCAUAUAUAUUUAAUGUUAAUAACAUUCUGUGACAUAGUGUAAUUAAAUAGGAAAACUUUAGUUAAAUCGGCGUAGUUUUAUCCAAAGGGCAUACUGUUUCCUGGUACAUAUAGAAUCAAGCAUAUACAUGACGUUGCUAAGAUCACGUAGUCUUCGAAAUAAACACAUUCAACAGUUGUUCAACGUCUGAAGGGUGUACUCUGCAUUUAUUGAGAGAUCACAUGGAGAGUAAUACAGCAAAACUCACCAACGAUUAAUAGUUUUUGAUAAAUAACUCCUGAUGUGCGUAUCGUCUCAAUGAUACAGAUGUUUUCAUGUAAGUUAAGGAGCACUGAGUUGGCUGGCUGUAUUUGCCUCGGGAAGUUUACAAUUUAAAAUUUUGCUGAGGAACAGGUGUUGUAUAAUAAUGGCACUUUGAUAAUGGUCUGAAGGGGUUUACAGAAUAGAGAAAAACGGCAAAAAAGUGGCAAAUAAAGGGCUUCAUAUCCUUCUGUACUCUUUCUUUGAUGCGUGCAUUUAUAAACUUGAGAAUAAUAUCUUUUAACUGUACAAUUACCCUAUGAUGAUUGUAUUUCGUUUUAUCGCAUUGAUAUGACUGAAAUUUGUCAUAAUGCUUAAUAUACACGAUAGGACAGUACAUAUGUAAAACCAGUGACAUGUUAAAGCAUGUUGAAAUAUUUGAUAGUAUUAUAAUGUUAUUAUGUUAAUGGCCAAC